rnacentral:rRNA from 1 species
GAUGAACGCUGGCGGCGUGCCUAAUACAUGCAAGUCGAGCGAACGGACGAGAAGCUUGCUUCUCUGAUGUUAGCGGCGGACGGGUGAGUAACACGUGGAUAACCUACCUAUAAGACUGGGAUAACUUCGGGAAACCGUAGCUAAUACCGGAUAAUAUUUUGAACCGCAUGGUUCAAAAGUGAAAGACGGUCUUGCUGUCACUUAUAGAUGGAUCCGCGCUGCAUUAGCUAGUUGGUAAGGUAACGGCUUACCAAGGCAACGAGGCAUAGCCGACCGGAGAGGGUGAUCGGCCACACUGGAACUGAGACACGGUCCAGACUCCUACGGGAGGCAGCAGUAGGGAAUCUUCCGCAAUGGGCGAAAGCCUGACGGAGCAACGCCGCGUGAGUGAUGAAGGUCUUCGGAUCGUAAAACUCUGUUAUUAGGGAAGAACAUAUGUGUAAGUAACUGUGCACAUCUUGACGGUACCUAAUCAGAAAGCCACGGCUAACUACGUG